AUCGAAUGGGGAGACUCACCGUAAGCGGGGUCGGCUUCCGUGCGGAAUGCGAUGUUAACGGCCGGGGCGUGCGAAAGCCUGCCCCAACGUUUCACGCUUUCGCUGCGGUAUGUGUCCGACCUCGUCGGCGUGCACUUCUCCCCUAGUAGAACGUUGCGACCCGCUGGGUGUCGGUUUAAGGGCCGGGAUCGUCGACUGUUACCGCUCGCUUCGCGGCUUGCGGUUUCAGACCCCCGGAUCAAACCCCGAUCGACUGCCCGGCGGUAUAAGUAUACGGUAUUGAGCCGCAGUAUUUCGAUAAACAUGCGUUCAGACUCGUUGCAAGCACGAACAUUGUCGUAAUAAUGCUCCCGGAUGUACGGACCUAGCGCCGUCCCUGGGAAUGUUCGGCUGUUGGCUAACGAAGUUCUCGAACAGGCUCGGCCCACAAAUGUGACGAUAAUGACAGAAAUGUUGUUAUUGUCACUGAAAAUACCGGUCGGCGACGCUAUUGCUUCGGGUACCUUUCAGGACCCGUCUUGAAACACGGACCAAGGAGUCUAACAUGUACGCGAGUCAUUGGGCUCAUAAACGAAACCCAAAGGCGUAUUGAAAGAAAAGGCCGGCUUCGCGCCGGUCGAGGGAGGAUGGGCGGCUCCGUUGAGGUUCUCUCGACGUCCGCCCCGCACUCCCGGGGCGUUUCGUCGUCAUUGCGACGUGAGGCGCACCCAGAGCGUACACGUUGGGACCCGAAAGAUGGUGAACUAUGCCUGGUCAGGACGAAGCCAGGGGAAACCCUGGUGGAGGUCCGUAGCGGUUCUGACGUGCAAAUCGAUCG
rnacentral:rRNA from 1 species